UACGGGGGGGGCAAGCGUUGUUCGGAAUUACUGGGCGUAAAGGGCUCGUAGGCGGCCAACUAAGUCAGACGUGAAAUCCCUCGGCUUAACCGGGGAACUGCGUCUGAUACUGGAUGGCUUGAGUUUGGGAGAGGGAUGCGGAAUUCCAGGUGUAGCGGUGAAAUGCGUAGAUAUCUGGAGGAACACCGGUGGCGAAGGCGGCAUCCUGGACCGGCACUGACACUGAGGAGCGAAAGCCAGGGGAGCAAACGGG
rnacentral:rRNA from 1 species